rnacentral:rRNA from 1 species
GUGGGGAAUAUUGCACAAUGGGCGAAAGCCUGAUGCAGCGACGCCGCGUGCGGGAUGACGGCCUUCGGGUUGUAAACCGCUUUCAGCUCUGACGAAGCUUUUUGUGACGGUAGGAGCAGAAGAAGCACCGGCUAACUACGUGCCAGCAGCCGCGGUAAUACGUAGGGUGCGAGCGUUGUCCGGAAUUAUUGGGCGUAAAGAGCUUGUAGGCGGCUUGUCGCGUCUGCUGUGAAAGCCCGGGGCUUAACCCCGGGUCUGCAGUGGGUACGGGCAGGCUAGAGUGUGGUAGGGGAGACUGGAAUUCCUGGUGUAGCGGUGGAAUGCGCAGAUAUCAGGAGGAACACCGAUGGCGAAGGCAGGUCUCUGGGCCAUUACUGACGCUGAGAAGCGAAAGCGUGGGGAGCGAACAGGA